rnacentral:rRNA from 1 species
AUGAACGCUGGCGGCGUGCCUAAUACAUGCAAGUCGAGCGAACAGAUGAGGAGCUUGCUCCUCUGACGUUAGCGGCCGACGGGGGAGUAACACGGGGAUAACCUACCUAUAAGACUGGGAUAACUGCGGGAAACCGGAGCUAAUACCGGAUAAUAUAUUGAACCGCGUGGGUCAAUAGUGAAAGACGGUUUUGCUGUCACUUAUAGAUGAAUCCGCGCCGCAUUAGCUAGUUGGUAAGGUAACGGCUUACCAGGGCAACGAUGCGUAGCCGACUCGAGAGGGUGAUCCGCCCCCCCGGAACUUAGACACCGUCCCGACUCCCAAGGGGGGCCGCCGUAGGGAAUCUUCCGCAAUGGGCGAAAGCCUGACGGAGCCACGCCGCGUGAGUGAUGAAGGUCUUCGGAUCGUAAAACUCUGUUAUUCGGGAAGAACAAAUGUGUACGUAACUAUGCACGUCUUGACGGUACCUAAUCAGAAAGCCCCGGCUAACUACGUG